GACGAACGCUGGCGGCGUGCUUAACACAUGCAAGUCGAACGGAAAGGCCCUGCUUGCAGGGUGCUCGAGUAGCGAACGGGUGAGUAACACGUGGGUGAUCUGCCCCUUAUUUUGGGAUAAGCCUGGGAAACUGGGUCUAAUACUGGAUAGGACCAUGCUGUAGGUGGUGUGGUGGAAAGAUUAGUUUCGGUAAGGGAUGAGCUCGCGGCCUAUCAGCUUGUUGGUGGGGUAAUGGCCUACCAAGGCGUCGACGGGUAGCCGGCCUGAGAGGGUGGACGGCCACAUUGGGACUGAGAUACGGCCCAGACUCCUACGGGAGGCAGCAGUGGGGAAUAUUGCACAAUGGGCGCAAGCCUGAUGCAGCGACGCCGCGUGGGGGAUGACGGCCUUCGGGUUGUAAACUCCUUUCAGCCAUGACGAAGCCCUUGUGGUGACGGUAGUGGUAGAAGAAGCACCGGCUAACUACGUG
rnacentral:rRNA from 1 species